UAUGUACUCCCUCCAUUCAGAAUUACUUGUCUCGGAAAUGGAUGUAUCUAGAACUAAAAUACAUCUAGAUACAUCCAUUUCUGCGACAAGUAAUUCCGAACGGAGGGAGUACAUA
rnacentral:pre_miRNA from 1 species